rnacentral:rRNA from 1 species
AGUGAACGCUGGCGGUAGGCCUAACACAUGCAAGUCGAACGGCAGCACAGUAAGAGCUUGCUCUUACGGGUGGCGAGUGGCGGACGGGUGAGGAAUACAUCGGAAUCUACUUUUUCGUGGGGGAUAACGUAGGGAAACUUACGCUAAUACCGCAUACGACCUACGGGUGGAAGCAGGGGAUCUUCGGACCUUGCGCGAUUGAAUGAGCCGAUGUCGGAUUAGAUAGUUGGCGGGGUAAAGGCCCACCAAGGCGACGAUCCGUAGCUGGUCUGAGAGGAGGAUCAGCCACACUGGAACUGAGACACGGUCCAGACUCCUACGGGAGGCAGCAGUGGGGAAUAUUGGACAAUGGGCGCAAGCCUGAUCCAGCCAUACCGCGUGGGUGAAGAAGGCCUUCGGGUUGUAAAGCCCUUUUGUUGGGAAAGAAAAGCAGCAGGUUAAUACCCCGCUGUUCUGACGGUACCCAAAGAAUAAGCACCGGCUAACUUCGUG